rnacentral:misc_RNA from 1 species
AACGCACCUUGCGCCCUCUGGUAUUCCGGAGGGCAUGCCUGUUUGAGUGUCAUGUAGACUCAAUCCCUCGGGUUUCCGAGGAGAUUGGACUUGGGUGUUGCCGCUCUGCCGGCUCACCUUAAAAGACUUAGCGGGAUAGCACCGUAGUCGACGUAAUAAGUUUCGUCGGUGAAGGUUGUGAUGACUGCUUACAAUCGCCCUUGGGCAAUUUUUGACUCUGACCUCAAAUCAGGUAGGACUACCCGCUGAACUUAA